rnacentral:lncRNA from 1 species
CGUGCACAUCUGAAUGCUAUCUACCGUUAGAUUUCAACUUUACAAUUUGGUCUAUCUCAUACAUUAAUAAUGAAACCACCACGUUUGUCGUCAUUGGCAUAUAACGUGACAGAACCCCGACGACCACCAUAUCAAUGUACUCAAUGACAUAGAUCAAUAUGGGUGAGUGACAUGGAAAUUUCAUGCAAUGUGAUCUCUAAAUCAUGUCUAUUUCCAACUGGUCCAACAUAAGUCUUUAUGGGCUAUGCUCAACGCGCAUGAGUGUGCAUAAAUUUCAUGCUCAGGGCGCCUGAGUGUGUUUUCACGUGCCUAAAUGUGUGUUUCUUCGUCUUCUUGGGUAUUUACUUCCAUAUGAGAUGUCUUGGGACUUGAGAACAAAUUUCAUCCCUAUGUAAUUUCUUCAGAGGCUUGUGGAAUCUUCAUUCAUGAUCUUUCCAAAGUCUUCACAAGUAUUCAAAUGUCUUACUUUGUCAAUUUGCAUGAUUUCUUCGUAAAUUACAUCAAAACACCUUAUAAUUUCUAUUUUGGGAAAAAUAGAAUUACAUGACUCAAAUAUAUAAAACGUUACAAAUGUCCCAAAAUCAUAAGCAAUUUUUCUAAUACUCCUCUAUUAUAGAUUAAACCUACUAAAAAUAACUGAAAAACAUGCUAAAAAUAACGUAGGAUGACAUGUCAUCAAUUAAUGUAUAAGAUAUGCUAAGACUUGCAUGUUUUUUUAAAAAAAAUAUGUCGUUCUCUCGAUCUUAGAAUCGAAGAGUAAUUCUUAGGAAAACAUUUUACCUUGCAUACAAAAAUAAAAGAACUUUACCAAACUUAAAAAGAAUAGGAGUGAAAUAAUUCAAAGAAUAAAUGAAAUAAAAAGUAAAAAAAAAAUAUUCACAAUGAAAAGAACAGUAUAAAAUAAAGAAGAGAAAAGUAUAAAGAGGUUUAAAGUACAAAGUAUAAAAGAAAAAUAUACACUAAAUCUAAUUAAUAUACAAACUUUUAUCAACAAAUUACCUUACAAUCAAUUAACACAAAUCCAUGGGAACAGCGCCAUUUGAUGAGCCCGAUUGUAGCAAUGAAGAAUCAAAGAUUUAUAAUUAUUAGUUGGUAGUGUUUAGCUGAUUAUAGGUGUUUAUUGAGAAAUUAUGAGUGAAGGAUGAAACAAACAAUAGACAAGUUAUGUUGGGAAUAGACUUCAUUAGUUAGUUCAUCUUUCCUUGAUCAACUUUAAAUUCCUUUUAUUCCAAUUAUACCUUCACCUAUCACCCUUCAUGGAUCUUGAUAUCUCGUAAAUAAUGGUAGAUCGUCUCUAGUCUCUAACCUCUGAUGUUACGAUUAGUUACUUAAAAAAGAAGCAUUAAGUUUCAACAAUGUGCGUGAUUGUAAACCUAAUCCGACAAAUACCCUUGCCUGUUUUCCUUAUAAGGGAUGUCUGAUUCUAGCAUGCCCCAAGUCAAAAGAUCAAUCAAGGGAUUUUGAUAUGUUGCAUAAGUCGACUUGAUCUACAAGCCUUUGUUACCACCUCGCUUCUGCCUUUUCACUCUCUCUUAAUCUUUCUUUCUCUAACUUGAAUAUUGAGUGAAUGAAUUGAAAGUAAGGUUGCAAGCCUAUUUUCUAAGUUGUGGUUUUCAUCCUUCGUCGGGAGAGUAGUUAUUCACUAAUUGUUUGUGAUCCAAUGGGAUAUGCUUCCACGUUAUCCAAGUGGGACUUUUUAGACCAUAUUUACUCAAUGGACAAGAUAAUAGAUUCAUUGGAUGAAGUAUCAUCUUAUUAUUCU